AUUGAACGCUGGCGGCAUGCUUUACACAUGCAAGUCGAACGGUAACAGGCCGCAAGGUGCUGACGAGUGGCGAACGGGUGAGUAAUGCAUCGGAACGUGCCCAGUCGUGGGGGAUAACGCAGCGAAAGCUGUGCUAAUACCGCAUACGAUCUGUGGAUGAAAGCGGGGGACCUUCGGGCCUCGCGCGAUUGGUGCGGCAGAUGUCAGAUUAGGUAGUUGGUGGGGUAAAGGCUCACCAAGCCGACGAUCUGUAGCUGGUCUGAGAGGACGACCAGCCACACUGGGACUGAGACACGGCCCAGACUCCUACGGGAGGCAGCAGUGGGGAAUUUUGGACAAUGGGCGCAAGCCUGAUCCAGCAAUGCCGCGUGCAGGAAGAAGGCCUUCGGGUUGUAAACUGCUUUUGUACGGAGCGAAAAGGCUCCCUCUAAUACAGGGGGCUCAUGACGGUACCGUAAGAAUAAGCACCGGCUAACUACGUGCCAGCAGCCGCCGUAAAAC
rnacentral:rRNA from 1 species